rnacentral:antisense_RNA from 1 species
UGUAGGAGUGAGCCUGCUCGCGAUGGCGGUGUGUCAUUCAGACCAUUUAAAUCUGACACACCGCCAUCGCGAGCAGGCUCACUCCUACA